rnacentral:rRNA from 1 species
GACAGAGGGUGCAAACGUUGUUCGGAAUUACUGGGCGUAAAGCGAGUGUAGGCGGUCUGAUAAGUCGGGUGUGAAAGCCCCGGGCUCAACCCGGGAAGUGCACUCGAAACUGACAGGCUAGAGUAUCGGAGAGGUCGGUGGAAUUCUCGGUGUAGAGGUGAAAUUCGUAGAUAUCGAGAGGAACACCGGUGGCGAAGGCGGCCAACUGGACGAAUACUGACGCUGAGGCUCGAAAACGUGGGGAGCAAACAGG